rnacentral:rRNA from 1 species
GAUGAACGCUGGCGGCGUGCCUAAUACAUGCAAGUCGAGCGAACAGACGAGGAGCUUGCUCCUCUGACGUUAGCGGCGGACGGGUGAGUAACACGUGGAUAACCUACCUAUAAGACUGGGAUAACUUCGGGAAACCGGAGCUAAUACCGGAUAAUAUAUUGAACCGCAUGGUUCAAUAGUGAAAGACGGUUUUGCUGUCACUUAUAGAUGGAUCCGCGCCGCAUUAGCUAGUCGGUAAGGUAACGGCUUACCAAGGCAACGUUGCGUAGCCGACCUGAGAGGGUGAUCGUCCACACUGGAACUGAGACACGGUCCAGACUCCUACGGGAGGCAGCAGUAGGGAAUCUUCCGCAAUGGGCGAAAGCCUGACGGAGCAACGCCGCGUGAGUGAUGAAGGUCUUCGGAUCGUAAAACUCUGUUAUUAGGGAAGAACAAAUGUGUAAGUAACUAUGCACGUCUUGACGGUACCUAAUCAGAAAGCCACGGCUAUCUACGUGCCAGCCGCCGCGGUAACAC